rnacentral:tRNA from 1 species
AGACAAAUUAGAGCUUGUUAAAAGCAUUUUAUUUACAUUAAAAAGUUGGCCGUGGAAUUCGGUUUAAUU